CGCUACUUCAACCAUGUCGAUAUAUCUACGUUAUUUCGACUGGAAAAAUUGUUGAGUAAUUGUAAUAGAGUCGCUAUAGCAGACAUAAACGAGAGGUUGAGUGUCAACUGUUUUUAUCCAACUACUGGAAUAUUUAACAGACAAAAGUCACAAGAAAGCAAAAAGCAUGGAAGAGAAAACAGAAAGUAUUCCGGUUUUCCGCUGUUGGUGGUCACCAUCGGAUGAAGGAUGUACAGAUGUGAACCCAGAAUCAACGCAUUUGGAUUUCAACCAGUAUGGAUGGCUAUAUAUUGGAGGUGGAGUUUUGGUACUCUUCGCAUUUAUUGGAUUGGUUUCGGUGUUGUGCAAGGCAACAA